rnacentral:rRNA from 1 species
GACGAACGCUGGCGGCAUGCCUAACACAUGCAAGUCGAACGAGACCUUCGGGUCGAGUGGCGCACGGGAUGGUAACGCGUGGGAACCUGCGCUUAGGUUCGGAAUAACUCCCCGGAAGGGCUGCUAAUACCUGAUAAUGUUUUCGGACCAAAGAGUUAUCGGCGUUGGAUGGGCCCGCGUUGGAGUAGCUAGUUGGUAGCGUAAAAGCCUACCAAGGCGACGAUCCAUAGCUGGGCUGAGAGGAUGAGCAGCCACAGUAGGACUGAGACACGGCCCAGACUACUACGGGAGGCAGCAGUGGGGAAUAUAGGACGAUGGGCGAAAGCAUGAUCCAGCAAUGCCGGGUGAGUGAUGAAGGUCUUAGGGUUGUGAAGCUCUAUUACGCGGGAUGAUAAUGACAGUACCGGGAGAAUAAGCGACGGCUAACUACGUG